UAUAAGGAUCAACUGCCGCAGGUCGAUCUGUCGCCGGUUGUAGUUGAGUGGGACUUGGACGGCGAUGAACCUGCCAACACAGCCCCAGGUUGAAGAUGGACGCCGUGCACAGCAUCACGUCCAUGGUCAUCAGGGCAUCACACAGCACCGUGCUCAGGGACCACACACCUCCCUGGAACUGGAAAGAUCCCAGGGUCAGCAGAUGCCUUUAAAGUGACAGGGAACACCUCCGUGCCUGGGCACCUCAGCCUCUCACGGUUCCUCCUGACAAGCAGCCCAAGGCUCCUGCCGUGGCACGAUGCUCCCAGCGUGGCAGUGGCACACAGGAGUCAGCCCCGUGCAGGAGCUCACAGCCUGCCCAGGGCUGGCUGGAGAACAGCCCACAGAGCGUCAGCACGGCCAGCUUGGUCAUCUUGGCCAGGGACACAGCUCUGCACAGCCCCUGGCAGAGGACAGGCAGCAGGACAGCAAUGGCUGAUGCUGGUACGGCCAGAGACUACUUGCAGCAGUUUGUUCCAGCCGAGCGCUCAUCUCACCCAGAGAGAACCGCUCAGCCUCAGGAGCUGCUGGGCCGGCCCGGGGCGGACACCCCCGGGCACCUCCACUCGGGGCACCUCCAC